GAUGAACGCUGGCGGCGUGCCUAAUACAUGCAAGUCGAGCGAACAGAUGAGGAGCUUGCUCCUCUGACGUUAGCGGCGGACGGGUGAGUAACACGUGGAUAACCUACCUAUAAGACUGGGAUAACUUCGGGAAACCGGAGCUAAUACCGGAUAAUAUAUUGAACCGCAUGGUUCAAUAGUGAAAGACGGUUUUGCUGUCACUUAUAGAUGGAUCCGCGCCGCAUUAGCUAGUUGGUAAGGUAACGGCUUACCAAGGCAACGAUGCGUAGCCGACCUGAGAGGGGGAUACGGCCCACGGGGACUGGAGACCCGGCCACACUCCCACGGGGGGGAGGAGUAGGGAAAUUUCCCCAAUGGGGCGAAACCUUACGGAGCCACCGCGCGGGAGUGAUGAAGGUCUUCGGAUCGUAAAAACCUUUUAUUAGGGAAAAAAAAAAGUGUAAGGAAACUUGCCCGUUUUGAAGGUAACCAAAUAAAAAACCCCGGCUAAACCCGGG
rnacentral:rRNA from 1 species